rnacentral:rRNA from 1 species
UACGAAGGGGGCUAGCGUUGCUCGGAAUCACUGGGCGUAAAGGGCGCGUAGGCGGCCAUUCAAGUCAGGGGUGAAAGCCUGUGGCUCAACCACAGAAUUGCCUUUGAUACUGUUUGGCUAGAGACCGGAAGAGGUAAGUGGAACUGCGAGUGUAGAGGUGAAAUUCGUAGAUAUUCGCAAGAACACCGGUGGCGAAGGCGGCCAACUGGUCCGAAACUGACGCUGAGGCGCGAAAGCGUGGGGAGCAAACAGG